GCUUUCAACAUCCCCGUCUCAGAGGCAAAAUGACGGUAUCGGCCACGCCGAUGCCAGACGACCUUAUGAGACUGAAGGC
rnacentral:sRNA from 1 species